rnacentral:tRNA from 1 species
GAGGAAGUGGCGCAAUGGCAAACGCGGGAAGUUUCCUAAACGGAGCAUCCUGUUAUCUGAAUCCAAAUCAAGAUGCCUUGUAGGUUCGAAUCCUUCCUUCCUCA